GAAUGCCUAUAGUUUGUAAAUUCACAAAAAUGGUCCUUUACAAAGACUGAAUAAUGCAUUUUUUUGUGACUUUGUAUCUAUACAAAGUUCUGUAGCACAUCUUCAUUUUACAAAAUGAAAUAGUCUUUGAAUAAUGCUUUUGCUCUUAUGGUCAGUUUUCUUAUGUUUUUCCUCCUUAGACAUGAGGUUAACUUCCACCCUUUUAAGCUUUCAGCUUAUUUACUAGUUUCAUAUAUCUCUGCGUUGUAGGACUUCAGGGACAGACAACUAUUUCCCACGCCUCUUUGGCCACAAAGAGCAGUGUUGCUUUGAAGUUAUUUACCCUGUCCUAGGUUUGAGGAGGUACCAACAUACAUUCAGGCUGCCUUACCAAGAUCAAUCCGUCGGUGCCUUUGGAUAGUCUGCAUUCUCAUUUGUGUCAUGUCAACAGGCUGCCGAAGCUGCAAGUGUUGCUUUGGCAUCAAGGAUUUUUGGGGUUAACUCGAAAAUACUGAGGUUUGAGGAAACAACCUUUUUGUCCUGGUUUUGGAGAAGAAGGUACUGAAGGAAUUUGUGAGUCCAAGAGACCAUGACAGUCCAAUGGAUGGGGUGCUGUGCCUUGUAGGAGGGUUGAACAAGAAAGCAAUCUUUCUGACCAAGCCGAUUAUGGAAGGACUCUGAAACAUCUUCCUUCUGAACCAAAUCUCUUGUAACUCAAGGAUCCCAAAGGCCUCUGGUUUUCAUUGAAGAUGGUCAGAUUAGCCUGUUAAAUCAUUUGCAUGUUGGUGCCAUGUACUUUAAAUUUCAAGUGGUUUUCUUCCUAGCGAGACAACCAAAAAACUUCCUCCAUUCUUGUACAGUAGAGCUUUUACUGUUGAAUUCUUAUUUUGGAAAUGGAACUUACUCGAGCAAUGCUUCAAAAGCAGGAAAAUGUUGCAUGCUUGAUCACUGAUAAGGAUGCCAGCCUUGCAGUACACUGAUGCUGCAACAAGUACCAGAUUCAGGUACAAUUACUCACAUAAGUGUCAUGUAAUGAACAUUUCAGGAAACUUCUACUCUCCUUCCCUAGUUUUAGAGCAAACCUCGCGGGCAUGGUGAUCGAUGGGCAUUCCUCACUGAUUGGUAUGCCAUGAAUGCUUACGUAAAGUAUAAAAUCUGUUCAAGUGUAUAGAGAUCAUCUCUGUGCCUGGGUAUUGCUGAUGUUGAAGUCCUAGAUUCUGAAAAUCAGUAUAUCUACAUAUGUAUAUUAUAUGGAUGUCUAUUCAUUGUGAAAACUGAAAACUUUCACAACAUUCUUGUCACAUAAAGUUGCAAAUAAUCAGACAAUGAUGACUAGUUAUUAAUAUACACGCCCGCGCGCGCGCGCAUAUAUAAUGAAUAUGCUAGGCGUCUAAAAUCUUUGUUCUUUUUUCUAACUUUAAUGUGGUGCUUCAAUCUUAGAAAUAAACAGGCUUAUCCUUUGGAUUUCCCAUAUCUCAAAUUGUUUUUUAAUGAAGGGUCUUUCAUGGGAUUUUCGAGGCACUGGUUCUAAGCGUUUCCUGUAGGAAUUGUUAUUCAUCCUAAAAGGAUUUAUGGUUUUGAUAGUUUGAUAUGCUUAUCGUACUUGACCUAUAUAGUUAGCUGAGGUUCUCUGCUUACCUUUAGUUCUCCUUCUUUUGUCUGUUAUGUUUCCUUUUUGUUAGAUUGUUGUGGUCACCUGAAUUAAAGGCUAUAAAUAUCGACGUGUUACAAAUUUACACUAGAAAAUAGAUGUUCUAGCAGGAGAGAAAGGCUCUGACUCACCAUUUACACCCCCAGAGCCAUUAUAUUGCAUCCACCUUGCUCCAGCCUAAAAGGUAUGGAAUAGGCUUCAGGAAAGGAGAAGGCAAUGAUCAAAACCAGAUUCAGACAAAAGUGCUUCACAUUAGCUCGAGGAAAAGAUUUUCUUCACAUGAGUUACAGCUUGCUCAUGAAGAAACACCACUUCAAGCUGCACUUGCUCUUCCUCCAAAAAAGCCUAAUACCUCCACAGAAACAAAUCAGGGAGGCAGAGGCGGCUGCCUGAAAGCUAGCUAAGGUUUAGGACAAUUAGGAGUGCAGCAAUGCAUUCACUUUUUCUAUCUUUAACUGACAAUAUAUUAAUUGGUUUCAAGGUCUGCUAGAUUUUAAUAUAAUUUCAUGUGUAGUUUUAUUAUUGCAAUAUUACAUGCCUGUGGGCUGUGGUUGGUGAAUACAUACUAUGGUUCCUUACAAAGAGUGGAGUAUAUGUAUUGUUACUUUGUUCAGAUACAAACUUCUAGGAGCAAAUCUACGCUUUAGCAAAUGAAAUGGUUGUCAAAUAAAGCUUUCACUUUUAUAUUAAUUGUGGUUAUCUUUCUUUCCUUAUGUUUUGCCUCCUUCAGACACAGGGCUGACUUCGAUACUUUUAACCUUUCAGUUUAUUUACUAACUCAGCCACGUACAAAGCAUCUGUCUACAUCAUUUCUUAUAGUCUGGAAGUAGCAAAACCAAUUCAGUUGCUGUUUUUGGACAAUUAUUUUUGUUUCCUUUUCUGUUUGUAUUAUUAUGUGUGUUUUUCUAGGCUGCUGAAGGUGCAAAAGUUCUGGGGCGUCAAGGA